CCUACGGGAGGCAGCAGUGGGGAAUUUUGGACAAUGGGCGCAAGCCUGAUCCAGCCAUGCCGCGUGAGUGAAGAAGGCCUUCGGGUUGUAAAGCUCUUUCGGCCGGGAAGAAAUCGCAUUGGUUAAUACCUGGUGUGGAUGACGGUACCGGAAUAAGAAGCACCGGCUAACUACGUGCCAGCAGCCGCGGUAAUACGUAGGGUGCGAGCGUUAAUCGGAAUUACUGGGCGUAAAGCGUGCGCAGGCGGUUUUGUAAGACAGGCGUGAAAUCCCCGGGCUCAACCUGGGAACUGCGCUUGUGACUGCAAGGCUAGAGUACGGCAGAGGGGGGUGGAAUUCCACGUGUAGCAGUGAAAUGCGUAGAGAUGUGGAGGAACACCAAUGGCGAAGGCAGCCCCCUGGGUCGAUACUGACGCUCAUGCACGAAAGCGUGGGUAGCAAACAGGAUUAGAUACCCUGGUAGUCCACGCCCUAAACGAUGUCAACUAGGUGUUGGGAGGGUAAAACCUUUUAGUACCGGAGCUAACGCGUGAAGUUGACCGCCUGGGGAGUACGGCCGCAAGGUUAAAACUCAAAGGAAUUGACGGGGACCCGCACAAGCGGUGGAUGAUGUGGAUUAAUUCGAUGCAACGCGAAAAACCUUACCUACCCUUGACAUGUCAGGAAGUCUUGAGAGAUUGAGAUGUGCCCGAAAGGGAACCUGAACACAGGUGCUGCAUGGCUGUCGUCAGCUCGUGUCGUGAGAUGUUGGGUUAAGUCCCGCAACGAGCGCAACCCUUGUCGUUAAUUGCCAUCAUUUAGUUGGGCACUUUAGCGAGACUGCCGGUGACAAACCGGAGGAAGGUGGGGAUGACGUCAAGUCCUCAUGGCCCUUAUGGGUAGGGCUUCACACGUCAUACAAUGGUCGGUACAAAGGGUCGCCAACCCGCGAGGGGGAGCCAAUCCCAGAAAGCCGAUCGUAGUCCGGAUUGCAGGCUGCAACUCGCCUGCAUGAAGUCGGAAUCGCUAGUAAUCGUGGAUCAGCAUGUCACGGUGAAUACGUUCCCGGG
rnacentral:rRNA from 1 species